CUGCAUCAUAUCCUUGUUGGUUGUGUGUUCUCACGCAUCACUUGGCACGAGAUCCUAUCUUGGUGCAGACUACCGAUUGCGCCGCCGGACGGCGUGACAGAGUUCUUUGAAUGGUGGUCUUCCAGUACCCUCGCGGCCCCCUCCUACCUCCGCAAGGGCUUUGCCUCACUUGCUAUAAUCACAUCCUGGGCCAUCUGGAAGCAUCAGAAUGGCAUCGUCUUCGAUGGCCUUCAUCCCUCCAAUGGCGAUCUACUGGACACGAUCAAGACCGAGGCCAAGCGAUGGGUGAGGGCAGGCGCCAAAGGAUUAGAUAGAAUCGUCCCUGUAACUUGA
rnacentral:rRNA from 1 species